UACGUAGGGUGCAAGCGUUAAUCGGAAUUACUGGGCGUAAAGCGUGCGCAGGCGGUUUUGUAAGACCGAUGUGAAAUCCCCGGGCUUAACCUGGGAACUGCAUUGGUGACUGCACGGCUAGAGUGCGUCAGAGGGGGGUAGAAUUCCACGUGUAGCAGUGAAAUGCGUAGAGAUGUGGAGGAAUACCGAUGGCGAAGGCAGCCCCCUGGGAUAACACUGACGCUCAUGCACGAAAGCGUGGGGAGCGAACAGG
rnacentral:rRNA from 1 species